rnacentral:rRNA from 1 species
UUCGAUGCAACGCGAAGAACCUUACCUACUCUUGACAUCCAGAGAAUUCGNNANAGAUAGCUUAGUGCCUUNGGGAACUCUGAGACAGGUGCUGCAUGGCUGUCNUCAGCUCGUGUUGUGAAAUGUUGGGUUAAGUCCCGCAACGAGCGCAACCCUUAUCCUUAUUUGCCAGCACGUAAUGGUGGGAACUNUAGGGAGACUGCCGGUGAUAAACCGGAGGAAGGUGGGGACGACGUCAAGUCAUCAUGGCCCUUACGAGUAGGGCUACACACGUGCUACAAUGGCGAGUACAGAGGGUUGCAAAGCCGCGAGGUGGAGCUAAUCUCACAAAGCUCGUCGUAGUCCGGAUUGGAGUCUGCAACUCGACUCCAUGAAGUCGGAAUCGCUAGUAAUCGUGGAUCAGAAUGCCACGGUGAAUACGUUCCCGGGCCUUGUACACACCGCCCGUCACACCAUGGGAGUGGGCUGCAAAAGAAGUGGGUAGCUNANC